rnacentral:rRNA from 1 species
CGCCCUGGUUGAUCCCGCCGGACCCGACUGCUAUCAGAGUGGGACUAAGCCAUGCGAGUCGACGUAGCAAUGCGUGGCGAACGGCUCAGUAACACGUAGUCAACAUGCCCAGGGGACGUGGAUAACCUCGGGAAACUGAGAAUAAACCACGAUAGGUCACGAUUUCUGGAAUGGAUCAUGGCCUAAAUCUACAUGGCCCCUGGAUUGGACUGCGGCCGAUCAGGCUGUUGGUGAGGUAAUGGCCCACCAAACCUAUAACCGGUACGGGCUCUGAGAGGAGAAGCCCGGAGAUGGGCACUGAGACAAGGGCCCAGGCCCUAUGGGGCGCAGCAGGCGCGAAACCUCUGCAAUAGGCGAAAGCCUGACAGGGUUACUCUGAGUGAUUUCCGCUAAGGGGAUCUUUUGGCACCUCUAAAAAUGGUGCAGAAUAAGGGGUGGGCAAGUCUGGUGUCAGCCGCCGCGGUAAUACCAGCACCCCGAGUGGUCGGGACGAUUAUUGGGCCUAAAGCAUCCGUAGCCGGUUCUGCAAGUCUUCCGUUAAAUCCAGCCGCUCAACGGAUGGGCCGCGGAGGAUACUACAGGACUAGGAGGCGGGAGAGGCAAGCGGUACUCAGUGGGUAGGGGUAAAAUCCUUUGAUCCAUUGAAGACCACCAGUGGCGAAGGCGGCUUGCCAGAACGCGCUCGACGGUGAGGGAUGAAAGCUGGGGGAGCAAACCGGAUUAGAUACCCGGGUAGUCCCAGCUGUAAACGAUGCAGACUCGGUGAUGGGCUAGCCUUGUGCCAGCCCAGUGCCGCAGGGAAGCCGUUAAGUCUGCCGCCUGGGGAGUACGGUCGCAAGACUGAAACUUAAAGGAAUUGGCGGGGGAGCA